UUAAAUCUGUCCGGCACAUUUUGCGGUCUGAGCAGGGUCACGUGGCCCUGCUCCGCACCGGGCACCCUCCCCCCCUUUACAACCUUGUUUGAUUUCUGCGACUUCAAGACAGAGCCUCCUGAGCUCAUCCAGGCGCCCCAGAGAUGGUUGAUUUCUUCUCACCUUGAUCUUGGAACUACAGGUGCGAGCCAUGGCUCCUGGCCUAGGACAGUGCACAGGAGCUGCAGGGGAAAAGCCCUGGGGGACGGUGCCCCAGCCCACCCAUGCCCAGUGAGUGGUCAGGGCAGGUGUGGUUUCGGACCCCAGGCUCAGGAGCUUCUCACCGGCCAUCCUCAGAGGAGAAGCCAGCCCUCACCCCAGGGCUGUGCACUGGUGCCCACAAUGCAAAUGCCAUGAAGCCUGCAGCAGCUGCAGCCAGGAGCCAACGGGUCACGGGCAGUGCCCCAUUUGCCUGGGACAGCUGGGCUCCCACCCCAGACUCCCUUCUCCUGCCAAGGGUUUCCCCACAGCAAGGACCGCCUUCCUCCUCUGAGCCAGCCAGGCAGCCACUAGCCCAGUCUGGCUGGGGAGAGAGCCCUCGGUGGUCUAUUUCCCCGCCCUGUCCUUUCCUUCUCUCAGGCUGAGCCCAGUGCUGGGAUAGAGGAUGGGGAAUGGGUGCUCCUGAACUGCUGAUUGGCUGAUCCCUAUCACCCACCAGAAGCUGCAGGGGAAAGUGACAAGGGCAGCAGAUACCAGUGCUCUCAGUCCAGGACCUUCUGGACUUCAAAAUGCUUUCAAGCACCCGCCUUCUCUGCAUCCCCAACAUGGAGCUGGCAAAUACAAAGCCAGGUCAGGAAUGGCCCUAGGGCCCCCACCCCAGCCCCCCAGUUUGCAUUCAUUUGGUUCCUGAGCUAGGACACCCCUCCAGCUACAGCAUCUGGCUGCUGCGAUGGGGGCCAGGGGCUUCCAGGCCGCUCUGUCUUUGCACAUCAAUUUUACCACCUGCCAGACGCCAGGAGAGGGCAUAUGAAAUAUAAAAUGAGUUGAGGCAUAAAAGUGUUUCGGAAUAAAAAUGAUGUGCACUGGCAAGGGAUUACAGUUAUUACAAGGACCAUGCGCUGACACCAUCACUCACACCUAGGAGCAGGAGAGUGUGGUCGCCUGCCGACGGAGGCAGCAGCCAGUGUGCCUCCUCCUCUAGGGACAGGGCUGCAGGUGGAGUGAAGCCAGCCCUCAGGGAGUGUCCAGGGCUCUGGGGUGGUGGCUCACAAUGCAGGGCCGGCGCAGUAGCUGACG